UUAAAAAGCUCGUAGUUGGAUUUCUGUGAGAGUAUGAUGUCCUAACGUGUUUAGAGCGCAGAAAACUCUUGCAUCCUUCUGUUACCUCCACGUGGCAUUCACUUGCCAGUGGUUGGCUCAGAGAAUUUACCUUGAGAAAAUUAGAGUGUUUCAGGCAGGCUAGGCCGGAAUACAUUAGCGUGGAAUAAUAGAAUAGGACUCCGGUCUCGUUGUUGGUUUGAGGGACUAUAGUAAUGAUUAAUAGGGAUAGUUGGGGGCAUUAGUAUUCGAUUGUCAGAGGUGAAAUUCUCAGAUUUAUUGAAGACUAACUUAUGCGAAAGCAUUUGCCAAGGAUGUUUUCAUUAAUCAAGAACGAAAGUUAGGGGAUCAAAGACGAUCAGAUACCGUCCUAGUCUUAACCAUAAACUAUGCCGACUCGGGAUCGGGGGCGUGUUAUUAUCCGCCCUUCGGCACCGUAUGA
rnacentral:rRNA from 1 species